rnacentral:rRNA from 1 species
GAUGAACGCUGGCGGCGUGCCUAAUACAUGCAAGUCGAGCGAACAGACGAGGAGCUUGCUCCUCUGACGUUAGCGGCGGACGGGUGAGUAACACGUGGAUAACCUACCUAUAAGACUGGGAUAACUUCGGGAAACCGGAGCUAAUACCGGAUAAUAUAUUGAACCGCAUGGUUCAAUAGUGAAAGACGGCUUUGCUGUCACUUAUAGAUGGAUCCACGCCGCAUUAGCUAGUUGGUAAGGUAACGGCUUACCAAGGCAACGAUGCGUAGCCGACCUGAGAGGGUGAUCGGCCACACUGGAACUGAGACACGGUCCAGACUCCUACGGGAGGCAGCAGUAGGGAAUCUUCCGCAAUGGGCGAAAGCCUGACGGAGCAACGCCGCGUGAGUGAUGAAGGUCUUCGGAUCGUAAAACUCUGUUAUUAGGGAAGAACAAAUGUGUAAGUAACUAUGCACGUCUUGACGGUACCUAAUCAGAAAGCCACGGCUAACUACGUG